CCUGUGCUUACAAGUCACUGGGGGAGGGUGCUCCUUUGCCCGUCCCCUCCCUCUGACGCAUGUGUUGAGGGUAGAGGUCAAAGCCUCAGGUAUCAGAUUGCCAGGCUGAUUCCUUAAUCACUUCUCCAUUUUAUUUUCUGAGGCAGGGUCUCUUACUGAACCUGGAGCUCACUGUUUCAGCGAGACUGCCCAGGGAGUCCCAGACAUCCUCCUGCCUCCGCACCUCCUCCCAGGACUGGGGGUUGCAGAUACACACCACCACCACCACCACGCUCAGCUUUUAUCUGGAUGCUGAAGUUCCAAACUCGGGUCCUCAUGCUUCUAUGGCAAGCACUGUACCUUACCCAUGGAACCAUCCCUCCAGCCCCGCUCCCUCUGUUUUAAUAGAGCCAUAAGCCACGGGCCCAGCAGCGAGAGAGGCGUGCUGGCCUCCUGUUCGGCUGUCAGUUCUCCAGUGGGGCUUAUCUGUCCCUUCACACCAUGUUCACUUGUCAAAGGAGCCGGGGGCUGCGUGUGACAGCCAGGUUAAAUAAAUACUGCCUGCUUCCACUCCCCCAAUUCCUGUCCUGUUGCCGAGGAUAGUGUCUUCCCAGCCUCCACGGGUACUGGAGUAUUGUCACCUGUCCUUAUUUGAUUAGUGUCGCACUCAAAAAUGCCCGAGGCCAUCUCUGCACAGUGAGAGCAUGGGGAUGGAUGUGCCUCCCUCUUCCUUUGCUGCCUAACGGCUACUCCCUGGAAAUGUGGAGAGGCAGGACAGUGGGAGGAGAGAGGAGGAGAGGGGCAGGGUAAGUCCAGGAGGUCAAAGAGAGGUACUAAACAGGCCAGGGGCUCAAAAGCUCCAAGCCUGGGGCCCCGACACGUCUGCCCUCCCCCAUCCACUGUGGCCUCUCCGAGCUUCUGUGGUGGAGGAUGUGGCAGGGGCUUUGUGGUUUCCCUCAUUAAGGAGAACUGGCAUCCUGAUCCCAGUGAUGCUGGUAAGAUGGUCCUAGGCUGUGACACCCCACCUUAGGGGUCACCGGGGUGUCAUUUAUGCAUAGACAGCACAGCAAGCCCAAGCGCGAUGGUGUGCAUAGAAGACACUGAGAGGGUGUGGCUCUUUCCACUGAUGACCUGACUGAAAGAACGGUGUGGAAUGUGCACAAGGGCACAAGUUCAAUUCCCCGCAGAGCCCACAUUUUAAAAGUCAGUCAUGGUGGUAAAUGUCUCCAAUCCCAGUUCUGGGAAGAUGGAGACAGAUGGAUUCCUGAGGCUCACUGGUCAGCCAGCCCUCACUGAAUUUGGUGGACUCAAGGCCAAUGAGGGACCCUGUCUCAAGAAACGAGGAAGAUGGCAGCUGAGGAGCAAUAGUCAGGUGGUCUUCACGUGCACAUGUACGCACACACACCUCCAUACACACGUGCAUCUGCAGACACACAGACACGUAAAAGCAAUGCUGUCAGGGGUGGGACAUGGCCCUGUUGUAGAGGAGCAUUUGCCCACCAUUCAUGAGGCUUUGGGCUCCAUCCCCACUAUUGGGGGAGGGGGUGGCAGGGGGAGACACAAGAAAAUAAGAAUUAGUUACAAAUCCACUACAUCAGAAUAAAAAGGCGGAUCCGGCCCCCUUGAACAGGUGUUUUGUAUUUGUCUUCACUGCUGGGUGAGGGUGAACCGUGCCAGCUGAUGUUAGACAUGGUCCCCGGUGAGCAACAGCGACAGCAUGCACAGCCUCACGUUCACUGACAAUAGGCAGACACCAGCACCCAGAUGCCAGAGCACGCUCACGCUACCUUGCUUCCUCCCUCCCUUCCGGCGUCCCCCGGGAAUCCAUUCAAAUCUACCCAGCAGAACGGGAGGAGAGGAGGGUAAACCCGCAUCCAGCCAUAAUUCUCUCCCUCUCCUUGUGAAAACAAAAGGAACAACCCAAAGCCUCAUCCAAUAUUCAUCGGGAAGCAUCCUGACAUGAUCCUGGGAAAAUAAGUCUUGUCUGAGCCUACAAUUCCAGAACACUCUCUCCAGAGCCUGGGAGCAGCCAGGACCGGCCAGGAAUAGGGGAUGGGGCUUGCCGAGGCACUUUGUAGAAAAGCUUAAUUAUGAUUCACAAAACCGCAGCGUGGAGAUGGUUUACAGCCACUUAAUUAGUGGAGGAAUAUACAGCCAUGAUUAUCCUGAAACACGGCCUAAUUAACCUAUGGAAAAACCAGGGCCACCACUCCGCAGUGCUGGAGAUGGUAGUAGCCUCUUAAUGCACCCCAUCUACUCUGGGGCACAACUUUGUGUGGGGACACAGGUCUGGGGACAAACUGGGAGGAACGGGGCUGGCCCUGGAGAGUGACCGUGCUUAAACAGAAACUAUUAACAAGUAGACAAAGAGAGGAAACUCAGAUUGAUAGUCACUGAGUACUACCACAGGCCAAGUGGUAUUCUGCUCCAUUUCCCAUGUAAAUUUCAAGAUAAUCCUAUAGCGUGGAUAUUGACAUUCAGAGAGGUUCAUCAAUAGACAUAAUGUCACACAGCCAGGAAACAGUUAAAGACCCUGCUUUUCCUGUUAUUCCACACUGUCUUUCUCAGGCCCAACAAAGCUAAGGGAACCCACUCAACCCGGAAGAGGGUCUUUUGACUCCAAGGAGCCACCACCCACUCUGAGGUACGGGAAAACUGGAGUCAUUCAAGCUUCCUAGAGCAGGCUCAAGCUGAGGAGGGCUUUGUGGAUGAGUGGGCAUUCACAAGGGCCACAGUGGGAGUGAGGUCCGGUAAGGGGCAGUGUGCAGAGGUACUUUGCACAGCCUUUAAACAAAAACCCAAGCCACCGCCUCAGCCUUCGUUCUGAGCGCAGAUCUUGGCCCCAAACCAGAGAAAACACAUCUGAGAAGCCAUAUGGGCCGGUCCUCAGGGACAGGCUGGUGCCACCACGGACGAAAGCUUGGAGUCCUCCAGGGGGCGCCCGAGAGCCAGCCGUGCGCUCCAGUUUAUCUGGCCAGCAGGUCGAGGAAUAUUCCAACAACGUCCUCAUUCUUCGCUGAUCAAAGGAGCCGGGAUUGAACCUGCUGUAAUCAUCCGCUGGGGAGUUUGCUUAAAAUUCCCCUAAUUACGGGAGAGCAGAAAAUUGCUAUGCCUCAGACUGAAUAGAGAAAUCGAAGGCGCCCUGCUCCAGCUGCCAGUCUGGGAACUGAGAGGCAGGCGAGGGGGCCCGGCUUCAAACUGCAAGGAGAGGAGAGAGAACCAGGUUCCUGGCCUGUGCCAGGAGCGGGAGAGGAAGGCAAGGAGCCACUGCGGUGGGAAUGUGGUGACUGGCUCAGGGCUCCAGGCUGGACCCACCCAGCUUGGGCUACAAGAUUCAAGUGGGAAUACCUGAAGGACCAAGAGCUCACUUGGACUCCAUGUCAGCUCCCUCCAGGACAUCACUUCUCCUUGGUGAGGAGAGGUCAGGAAGAGACACCUGGCCGACACAUGAGUGUUUCCCGGAGGAGGGGAAAGGCCCAGGAAGGUCCACGUUUCCCUCUGCGUUCUGAGCGUGUGGAGCAGACUUACAACCACUUCAGUGUCCGGGCCUGCCAACACUGUCCAUUUUCUCUCUUUUGUUCUUUCUCUGUUGACUGAUUUUUCUUGUGGCAGUGAGUAAUACUUUCCUGCUUCUUUACGUAACUAUUCAUUUUUAUUAGAUGACAUAUCUUGUAAAUUUUACAUUGUCAAGCUCUGGAUUUUGUCAUAUUCCUUUAAAGAGUGAUGAUGUUUUUUAUUUGCAAGUUGUUUUUUUUUUUUAAGUGAUGGACUUCUGGCUCAAAGUUAUUUGGAACACCUUUGAUUUAUUGUUAUUGAUGUUGUUGUGAGACAAGAGCUUGCUAGGUAGCCCAGGCUGGCCUCCAACUCAUGAUCUUCCUCCUCUACCUCCAGAGCACUGAAUUACAGGUAUGUGUCACCAUGCUUUGGUUCUUUUUCUUUCUUUUUCUUUUCUUUCUUUUUUUUAAAGAUUUACUUUUAUAGAGAGGGAGGAGGAAUUAUGCAACUCUUGUUGGCUUGGAAACUCACAUGUGGAUCAGGCUAGUUUUGAACUCACAAAAAUUCUCCUGCCUCUGCCUCCUGAGUGCUGGGAUUAAGGAAGUGCACUGUCUCAGCCGGUUUAAGACUCGCUUGUAGGCUUUUUUGUUUAUUUUAUUAUCUCCUAUCUAUGGUCAGCAAGGUUUUGUUUUAAUUUUAUGCCUAUAGGUAUUUUUACCUACAUGUAAGUCUGUGCACAAGAAGAAGGUCACCAAUCUCCGGGGACUGGAGUUAGAAUGUUGUGAGCUGCUGGGUGAGGUGCUGGGAAUCAAACCUGGGUCCUCUGGAAAAGCACCAGUGCUCUUAACUGCUGAGCCAUCUCUCUAGCCCUUAACAUGUUUUAAAGACUUCCAUAGAUCUUCAGAACUCUGUAUGUGGAUCUCUUCUCUCAAAUAUUCUUCCAAACAAUUCUAGCCUCCCAAAUACCCACUGUAUGCUGUGCAGUUUCCUCCAUGCAGUAAACUACACAACUCUACAGACCACAUCACUGAGUCCCCUUCUCUUGGGGACCACCAUCUAAAAGUAGCUGUUUCCUGCAUCCAGCCUUCGAUUGUUUUCUCCAGGUGAGUGCUUUCAACAGCAAAUUAAUCCAAGGGUAGGGGGCAGCCUCCCACUCAGUGCAGAUUAAACAAUAGCAACAAGCAGGAUAAAUAAGUGAACAGUAUGUGAGAAGAUGAAAGGAACUCUGGGAAAGUAGGUGAAAGAGAGAGAAAGAUCCUGGAAGAGGGUGCAUUCAUCAUGGUUCUCUAGAGGAAUGGAACUGAUAGAAUGAUAUUACGAAGGGGCUUAUUAGAGCAGCUAUCAGGCUGAGGUCCGAGUCAACAAUGGCUGUCCCCUGACGGAAAUGCUAAGGAUCUGGUAGUUAGUUGUUCAGACCAUGAGACUGGAUGUCUCAGCUGUCCCAGUCUGGUGCUGGAGUCCCAGGGAAGUCUUAGAGAGCUGCUGGGCUUUGGUCUGCAUUGGAAUCCUGAAGACAUAGAUACUAACACCGGAGAAGGGAUGGAAGAACUUGCCAGCGAGAGUGAGGGCAAGCAGACAAAGGGCAAAAGCUUCUUCUUCCACGUCUUUUUCUGUAGGCUACUACCGGAAGGUGUGGCCCAGGUCUUCCCACCUCAAAUGAUCCAAUCAAGAAAAGCCCUUCUAGGUGUUUCCAGCUGCGUGGGCUUUAGUCAGUUCCACACGUAGCCAAGAUUAGCCAUCAGAGCGGUAAUUUAUCUUUUAAGUUUAUUUAUUUAUUUAUUUAUUUAUUUAUUUAUUUAUUUAUUUAUUUAUUUAUUUAUUGAGACUAGUUCUUGCUAAGUAGUCUA